rnacentral:lncRNA from 1 species
GGGAGUAGAAAAAGUGUGGAGGGUGGAGGAGGGAAAAAUAGUUUUGGUUUUGCCGAGUGCUUGAGGAAAACACUCGGCAAACCCUUGGCUUUGCCGAUGUCGAGCGAAGCACUCAACAAAAUUGUAACUUUGCCGAGUGUCUGUGACGGACACUCGGUAAAGGACUAACGUCCGGCACGCCCCUCUAACGGCCGUCGCACGUGCCGGUCACGUGAUCAUAGUUUGCCGAGUGUCAUUUUUUUGCCGAGUGUUGGUUGUGACUUUGCCGAGUGCUUUUAAUUUGACACUCAGGAAAUAUAAUUUAUGCCGAGUGUUUUCACGGAGACACUUGGCAAUGAGCACCUUUGCUGAGUGCCUGAAAUAAAGCACUCG